AGGAAUUGCCUCAGUAACGGCGAGUGAAGCGGCAACAGCUCAAAUUUGAAAUCUGGCCCUUGGGUCCGAGUUGUAAUUUGUAGAGGAUGCUUUUGGUGCGGUGCCUUCCGAGUGCCCUGGAACGGGACGCCUUAGAGGGUGAGAGCCCCGUACGGUUGGACACCUAGCCUCUGUAAAGCUCCUUCGACGAGUCGAGUAGUUUGGGAAUGCUGCUCAAAAUGGGAGGUAAAUUUCUUCUAAAGCUAAAUACCGGCCAGAGACCGAUAGCGCACAAGUAGAGUGAUCGAAAGAUGAAAAGCACUUUGAAAAGAGGGUUAAAUAGCACGUGAAAUUGUUGAAAGGGAAGCGCUUAUGACCAGACUUUUUCCUUGGGGAUCAUCCGGUGUUCUCACCGGUGCACUUCCCUUGGUUUAGGCCAGCAUCGGUUUCCGCAGGGGGAUAAAAGCUUUGGGAACGUGGCUCCUCCGGGAGUGUUAUAGCCCGCUGCAUAAUACCCUUGUGGGGACCGAGGUACGCGCUUCUGCAAGGAUGCGGGCGUAAUGGUCAUCAGCGACCCGUCUUGAAACACGGACCAAGGAGUCGAACAUUUAUGCGAGUGUUUGGGUGUUAAACCCUCACGCGUAAUGAAAGUGAACGGAGGUGAGAGCCUUUUAGGUGCACCAUCGACCGAUCCUGAUGUCUUCGGAUGGAUUUGAGUAAGAGCAUAACUGUUCGGACCCGAAAGAUGGUGAACUAUGCGUGGAUAGGGUGAAGCCAGAGGAAACUCUGGUGGAGGCUCGCAGCGGUUCUGACGUGCAAAUCGAUCGUCAAAUCUGCGC
rnacentral:rRNA from 1 species